rnacentral:rRNA from 1 species
GUAGUCCACGCCCUAAACGAUGUCAACUGGUUGUUGGGAGGGUUUCUUCUCAGUAACGUAGCUAACGCGUGAAGUUGACCGCCUGGGGAGUACGGUCGCAAGGUUGAAACUCAAAGGAAUUGACGGGGACCCGCACGAGCGGUGGAUGAUGUGGUUUAAUUCGAUGCAACGCGAAAAACCUUACCUACCCUUGACAUGUCAGGAAUCUUGCAGAGAUGUGAGAGUGCUCGAAAGAGAACCUGAACACAGGUGCUGCAUGGCCGUCGUCAGCUCGUGUCGUGAGAUGUUGGGUUAAGUCCCGCAACGAGCGCAACCCUUGUCAUUAGUUGCUACGAAAGGGCACUCUAAUGAGACUGCCGGUGACAAACCGGAGGAAGGUGGGGAUGACGUCAGGUCAUCAUGGCCCUUAUGGGUAGGGCUACACACGUCAUACAAUGGCCGGGACAGAGGGCUGCCAACCCGCGAGGGGGAGCUAAUCCCAGAAACCCGGUCGUAGUCCGGAUCGCAGUCUGCAACUCGACUGCGUGAAGUCGGAAUCGCUAGUAAUCCCAGAUCAGCACGCUGGGGUGAAUACGUUCCCGGGCCUUGUACACACCGCCCGUCACAUCACGAAAGUUGGUUGUACCGGAAGCCGGUGCUCUAACCCUUCGGGGGGGAAGCCGUCCAUGGUAUGCCCAGCGAUUGGGGUG